CCUAGAUGAAUUUGGUGCUUGCCCAGAUGAAACUAGAUACAAGCGAGCGGCGGACGGGUGAGUAACACGUGGGUAACCUGCCCAAGAGACUGGGAUAACACCUGGAAACAGAUGCUAAUACCGGAUAACAACACUAGACGCAUGUCUAGAGUUUAAAAGAUGGUUCUGCUAUCACUCUUGGAUGGACCUGCGGUGCAUUAGCUAGUUGGUAAGGUAACGGCUUACCAAGGCAAUGAUGCAUAGCCGAGUUGAGAGACUGAUCGGCCACAUUGGGACUGAGACACGGCCCAAACUCCUACGGGAGGCAGCAGUAGGGAAUCUUCCACAAUGGACGCAAGUCUGAUGGAGCAACGCCGCGUGAGUGAAGAAGGGUUUCGGCUCGUAAAGCUCUGUUGGUAGUGAAGAAAGAUAGAGGUAGUAACUGGCCUUUAUUUGACGGUAAUUACUUAGAAAGUCAUGGCUAACUACGUGCCAGCAGCCGCGGUAAUACGUAGGUGGCAAGCGUUGUCCGGAUUUAUUGGGCGUAAAGCGAGUGCAGGCGGUUCAAUAAGUCUGAUGUGAAAGCCUUCGGCUCAACCGGAGAAUUGCAUCAGAAACUGUUGAACUUGAGUGCAGAAGAGGAGAGUGGAACUCCAUGUGUA
rnacentral:rRNA from 1 species